UUUUUUUAUAGAUAAAGAUUGAUUCUGUCUUUGUUGAUUUGCUAUUUGGUAAUAUUAAAUAUAAGUUUUUGCGUGUUGUCAAUUUUGUCUUAAGGACAUUAUUUUUUAUUUGUAGUUUUUUAUUUUGGGUUUUACGUUAUUGUAGAUUCAGUUAAUUAAUUUAGGUCUGUUUAAAGUUGUGCCAGCAAACGCGGUUAUACAUCUGGAUCAAGUAAAUUUUUUAGGUUAGUAUUAAUUUU
rnacentral:rRNA from 1 species